CCCUUAGAUGUUCUGGGCCGCACGCGCGCUACACUGAUGCAUUCAACGAGCCUAUCCUUGACCGACAGGUCCGGGUAAUCUUUGAAUCUGCAUCGUGACGGGGAUAGAUUAUUGCAAUUAUUAAUCUUCAACGAGGAAUGCCUAGUAGGCGCAAGUCAUCAGCUUGCGUCGAUUACGACCCUGCCCUUUGUACACACCGCCCGUCGCUCCUACCGAUUGGGUGUGCUGGUGAAAUGUUCGGAUCGGCCGUUUGUCGCGGUUUCCGCGUCAUGUGGCUGAGAAGUUCAUUAAACCCUCCCACCUAGAGGAAGGAGAAGUCGUAACA
rnacentral:rRNA from 1 species